rnacentral:rRNA from 1 species
UACGUAGGGUGCGAGCGUUGUCCGGAAUUAUUGGGCGUAAAGAGCUCGUAGGCGGUUUGUCGCGUCUGCCGUGAAAGUCCGGGGCUCAACUCCGGAUCUGCGGUGGGUACGGGCAGACUAGAGUGAUGUAGGGGAGACUGGAAUUCCUGGUGUAGCGGUGAAAUGCGCAGAUAUCAGGAGGAACACCGGUGGCGAAGGCGGGUCUCUGGGCCGAUGACUGACGCUGAGGAGCGAAAGCGUGGGGAGCGAACAGG